UUUAUUAGGCUGCAAAAACAUCAGCCCUUUUUGUGGUCUCAUGUGAGGCAAAGUUCUGUCAGCUUACCUGGGCCACGGCUAACUCAUAUCCUGGGGUCUGGUUCCAGCACCUGAGUUUUAGUGAAAAUGUUCCUUUCCUUUCCCACCGCCACCCUUGCUUUCCAUGUCUCCACCCUCAGACUGUGAGCUAAGUGAGAGGCUGUGUUUCUCCAUCUGUUGCUGAAACUUUUGUCUCUGCAAGGGUUCUUCUCAGAGGCCAGGUAACUGUUUCUUGGGUGUCACUGCUUCCCUGGGCUUCCAAGGAUGAACAGCUAUUCCUGAGGAACAGCUGUUUGGAUUAAACAUGGAAAUGAGCCUCUAGAAGUAUCUGAUACCCCCCGGAUACUUAGCAUAUACAUGAAAAAGCAACUUGGGCUGGUUACUCAUCGAAUGUCAACUGUGCUGCUAGGAACAAUGCUGGGGGGAUGGGGAAGUAAGACUUUGUUUCUGAAGACAGAUGAUGGGAAGCUGGCUGGCUGGUUCCCUUUGGGAGGGGGGAUGUGGGGGAGAAGGCAUAUAUAGGAGGUCUUUCUUCCUCUGGUUCUGUUGGUUUCCAAGUAACAUCAGAAAUUCCUAGAAUAUCCCCUCCCAAUGUGACUAUCCUAAGAAAUUGCUUCCCAAGUCCCAGUGAUACACCUGUAUGCUUAAAGGCUAAUGAGACCCACUUUUUUGUCUGCCCAGAAGAUAAGUAGUAUAGUCAGGUCUCAUACUUUUAUGCUGAUUGUUUUCAUGCUUUUCAAGUUUUUAUUAAUGCCUGUGGCUGUACUCCUUAUGAGUGUAGGAGAGAUUUACUGUGUAAGAGAGAUUUACUGUGGUGAACCCAGCUUUUUUUAUACCUAGAAUACUUUGGAGACUUGUAAGCCUACCAUUAUCUACUAAAGAAUACUAAUUGGGGCCAGAGGUCCGUAAAGAAUGGGGAUUACGUACAGAUGAAAAUUAGGUAUUUUCAGCUCUAGUUGAGGGUACAGGGAUAGGGGACAAUGCAACUAGGCUGUGGUUGGGGCAUCCAUUCCUUGCAGUGAUGGUACUCAGCCCUUGUCCCUGAGCUUGCUGCUUCCCCCCUAGGUAUGCGGUGCUUUGUGGUCAGCUGGCUGAGCAUGAGAGCAUCCAGAGGCGCAUCCAGAGUGGCUUUAGCUUCAAGGAGCAUGUGGACAAAGCCAUUGCUCUCCAGCCAGAAAACCCCAUGGCUCACUUUCUUCUUGGCAGGUGGUGCUAUCAGGUCUCUCACCUGAGCUGGCUAGAAAAAAAAACUGCUACAGCCUUGCUUGAAAGCCCUCUCAGUGCCACUGUGGAAGAUGCCCUCCAGAGCUUCCUAAAGGCUGAAGAACUACAGCCAGGAUUUUCCAAAGCAGGAAGGGUAUAUAUUUCCAAGUGCUACAGAGAACUAGGGAAAAACUCUGAAGCUAGAUGGUGGAUGAAGUUGGCCCUGGAGCUGCCAGAUGUCACGAAGGAGGAUUUGGCUAUCCAGAAGGACCUGGAAGAACUGGAAGUCAUUUUACGAGACUAACCACGUUUCACUGGCCUUCAUGACUUGAUGCCACUAUUUAAGGUGGGGGGGCGGGGAGGCUUUUUUCCUUAGACCUUGCUGAGAUCAGGAAACCACACAAAUCUGUCUCCUGGGUCUGACUGCUACCCACUACCACUCCCCAUUAGUUAAUUUAUUCUAACCUCUAACCUAAUCUAGAAUUGGGGCAGUACUCAUGGCUUCCGUUUCUGUUGUUCUCUCCCUUGAGUAAUCUCUUAAAAAAAUCAAGAUUCACACCUGCCCCAGGAUUACACAUGGGUAGAGCCUGCAAGACCUGAGACCUUCCAAUUGCUGGUGAGGUGGAUGAACUUCAAAGCUAUAGGAACAAAGCACAUAACUUGUCACUUUAAUCUUUUUCACUGACUAAUAGGACUCAGUACAUAUAGUCUUAAGAUCAUACCUUACCUACCAAGGUAAAAAGAGGGAUCAGAGUGGCCCACAGACAUUGCUUUCUUAUCACCUAUCAUGUGAAUUCUACCUGUAUUCCUGGGCUGGACCACUUGAUAACUUCCAGUGUCCUGGCAGCUUUUGGAAUGACAGCAGUGGUAUGGGGUUUAUGAUGCUAUAAAACAAUGUCUGAAAAGUUGCCUAGAAUAUAUUUUGUUACAAACUUGAAAUAAACCAAAUUUGAUGUUAUC
rnacentral:lncRNA from 1 species